GAUGAACGCUAGCUACAGGCUUAACACAUGCAAGUCGAGGGACCGGCGCGCGGGUGAGUAACACGUAUCCAACCUGCCCUUUACUCGGGGAUAGCCUUUCGCAAGAAAGAUUAAUACCCGAUAUAAAGGAUGGGGAUGCGUUCCAUUAGGUUGUUGGUGAGGUAACGGCUCACCAAGCCUUCGAUGGAUGGGGGUUCGGAGAGGCAGGCCCACUGCAUUGGAACUGAGACACAGUCCAAACUCCUAGGGGAGGCAGGAGUGAGUAACACUGGUCAAUGGGGGCUGGCCUGAACCUGCCAAGUGGGGGGAAGGAUGAAGGCGUAUUGGUCGUAAACUUCUUAUAUAUAAGAAGAUGUAUUAUAUGAAUAAGGAUCGGCUAACUCCGUGCCAGCAGCCGCGGUAAUUC
rnacentral:rRNA from 1 species